ANAGUUUGAUGCUGGCUCAGAUUGAACGCUGGCGGCAGGCUUAACACAUGCAAGUCGAGCGGUAACAGGGGUAGCUUGCUACCUGCUGACGAGCGGCGGACGGGUGAGUAACGCGUAGGAAUCUACCCAGUAGCGGGGGAUAGCCCGGGGAAACCCGGAUUAAUACCGCAUACGCCCUAUGGGGGAAAGCAGGGGAUCUUCGGACCUUGCGCUAUUGGAUGAGCCUGCGUCGGAUUAGCUAGUUGGUGGGGUAAAGGCCUACCAAGGCGACGAUCCGUAGCUGGUCUGAGAGGAUGAUCAGCCACACCGGGACUGAGACACGGCCCGGACUCCUACGGGAGGCAGCAGUGGGGAAUAUUGGACAAUGGGGGCAACCCUGAUCCAGCCAUGCCGCGUGUGUGAAGAAGGCUUUCGGGUUGUAAAGCACUUUCAGUGGGGAGGAAAUGGUCACGGUUAAUAGCGGUGAUUUUUGACGUUACCCACAGAAGAAGCACCGGCUAACUCCGUGCCAGCAGCCGCGGUAAUACGGAGGGUGCAAGCGUUAAUCGGAAUUACUGGGCGUAAAGCGCGCGUAGGCGGUCUGGUCAGUUGGGUGUGAAAUCCCCGGCCUUAACCUGGGAACUGCAUUCAAUACUGCCAGGCUGGAGUAUGGGAGAGGGUAGUGGAAUUCCACGUGUAGCGGUGAAAUGCGUAGAUAUGUGGAGGAACACCCGUGGCGAAGGCGACUGCCUGGCCCAAUACUGACGCUGAGGUGCGAAAGCGUGGGUAGCGAAC
rnacentral:rRNA from 1 species